rnacentral:tRNA from 1 species
GUUUAAAUAAUUUAAUUAAAAUAUUGAUUUGUGGUAUCAAAAAUAUGAAGGAAUCAUUUUAAACU